UUUUGAAGUGCUGCAUGACAUGGGGAAAUCUAGAGGAGUUUGAUACUUGGGAUGUUUGAUAUAAGCAAGAGGCAUGUUGUCCAAGACAUCAUUGGUCGUGAGACAUUUGCAUAGAUUCAGAAACCAGCAGUUUCGUCACCAAGGGAUCACUAAAAAUCCAGCAACAUAAAAUCUACUAGCACUAAUCGAGGUAAAUGUUUUAAUACAAAAGCAAUGUUCCUAAAGGUAAGCGUCGCAAUGUUCAUAUGCAUGUUAGCGGUGAUGCUUAUACUUUGAGCCUUUGGACACCUCCUUCCAUGCUUCCCGGUCCGCGCAUUUCCUCAUCUUGGUUGGGUCAUACACAAAGAAUAGAGCAUUCACAUUAUGUUUACAAUUCUUCCGGUGCACCCAGUAUUUUUAGCAACCAAUAACAAAUUCAUAACCUUGAUAACGUCAUCAAACUGCCAAAUUGGAAGAAGCAAAGUGAGUACUAUAAGAGUGGGUAAUUUCAACAAAAGAAAAGAAAUAGGUGAAGAAGUUAGACACUUAUCCCACAUCACUAUACGCAUGACCAUAAAUCUUCAGCCUUGUGUUCAUUACAGACUAAAUCCUGGCCAUGUUACUGCAGCAAUAAGACCAACCUCUAUGAAUGCAAACAGUAAAAGGAAUUCAGAAAACAAAAGAGAUUGUGUUAAAAUAGAGUUGCAUAGUCUCAUCAUACGCACAAAUGUCAGAAAUAAAUAAAACAAAUCAUAAUCAGAUCAAUCACGUAAUGAAUUUAGAAGGGAAGAAGAGUCAGUUGGCGGUUACAAACUAAUGCAAGCAGUAACAGUCAGCCAGAAUUCAUCACAUAUUCCCUUGAUUUACUACACAUUAUUUUCGAGCAAUUAGGAAAUUAAGGGGCAUGUAAUCAGACAGAUUUCUUGGAGCAGGGUAUCAGGGAUAGUUAAGCAAAUGCAAACCAGAAGGCAUGUUGAUUUCAGUUACAUAAUCAGCCUAAUUGUAGCAGUAAAGAGCAGUCAUAGAGCAGAGUUCUUAUAAGUUACUGGAUCAAAAUGGGCAGCCCAGGGGUCUACCUUCAAACAGUAUAAAAGGGGGAUACAUAUAUCAUAUACAUGGCACUCAACAAAAGAGGGAGAGGCCAAAAAAGCAACAGCUAGGGAACAUAGCUACGCAUACAUAACCACAAGAGAAAUCAGCCAAGAGAUAGUGCAGUAAGGCAUCCAGAAACAGGAAAGCAGAAACGCGAUUGCAACAGAACAUAAGACAACAUACAUCAUAGCAAGAGACCACACUCAGGAGGAAUAAAAAGGAAGAAGCAUAACUCAGGUAAGCACUUAAGCCAUAAAAAAUUCUAUGAACAUUCCUUGCUUUAUAUGGCUUAUACAUUAGACUUAUAAGAUUAUUUCGUAACCAUUGCUAAUCAGUCAUAACACAGAAAUACAUAUACAUAUAUUAGAAUGUAAAAAGCAUAACUGAACUUUGUUUUAGUCUAUAUGUCUCCGCGAAUUGAUGCCAUUAAUAUGAUUAUGAAAAAUUCUAAUAGAAAAAAUGGAUUAUUCCCUUAUCAUUAAUCUGGAACCCAGUGAGCCUCAUGCAAAGGAUAGAGGUUCAAAAAGAAAAAAGAAAGUAAUUACCCCUCUCUAACCUGAUGUGAGAGGACGCCCUGGUUUAAUCGAUGUGGCGCGUAUCCUCAGUGCUCUUCAAUCUGUUUUGGUUCGGCCUUUAAUGGCUAUGGGUUAUCGUU
rnacentral:lncRNA from 1 species